CCUUUGGCUUGUUGGAUGGCCAGUACAUGGACAGUGUACCUGAAACUGCUUACUUUGUCCCACACUCAGAGUGUCACUACUCGACUGCCUGACCAACACGACCCUGAGCAGCUUGAGGGACUAGAGUACGGAGGGCCAUGGCUCAGCUCUCUACACCCCUGUGUCCCCCAGCAGGUUCCUGACCAUGGAGGCCAGCGCUGUCCUCUACUCCCUACAAACAAUCCUCGAGUUCACAGAGACCCUGAAGCUCAUAGACUCAGACCCAGUGGCUUGGAGUGAGGUGCCCAGUUUCAGCCUGAAGGAAAUGACUUCGCCCCUGUAACAGGAAGUGAUGUCGUCUGUUUCCCAGGUGGGGAUGCCAGAAGGCGCUAGCUACCAUUUUGAUGAGUCAUACAUAAUUGACCUGAAUAAGAACUACACUGAGCUGAUGCCUGCCUCUUCACCCACCUUGACCAAGCUGAGCACACCUCCCUCCAUCCUGAAAAGGUGGAGGGAGAGGGGGAGCAGUCUCCUGCCAGUAAGUGUCACAGCACCUCCUCACCUAGGAUCUCUCCUGUCAAAGCACUGCCAUUCUCUCCAUCCCAGUUUUCCAACGUGUCUGAAGUUGAGGAUUUGA
rnacentral:lncRNA from 8 species